rnacentral:misc_RNA from 1 species
AACGCACGAGACCUGCGGACCUGCGGAAGGAUCAUUACCAGUUGUGCCUCGCCGUCGAGCCCUGCCGUCUCCGCUCCCGUUUCUCCGGGGGAUGCUUGAAAAAAGUAUCCGUCGGGGGGGGCUGCCCUCCCGAGAAUAGGAAGAUGGGCACCCUUUACGGUCGUAGCGUCUCGAGACGCGGGUUCCGGCUUGAAGUGCCUUCCACCCGUGAACACUGAACCUCAUGUUGCCUUGGCGGGC